ensembl:lncRNA
CAAGCUCCACCUUCAGGCAGAAACAGGAAACUAUUUCUCUGCACAGCUUCAGUAAAGAUCAGACAUUAUGUUGGAUAUUUGUACCAAACUAAGAACUAAAUAAGAAGAAGACAGUGAAACAUCGUCAUUCUGCUGUUUGUUCUGUUUCCUGUUCUGUCUGAAGUCUGACAUCAUGUGACUUCCUGGGAACAGACCUGAAGCUUCGUCACUGGAGUUUAAUGACUUCCAGCACUGUUCACUUUUUCCUCCCGUCUCUUUCUGCUUCACAGAUUCUUUUGUAAAACAGUUUUCACUGAACGACAUCAACUUGUGUUUACUGGUUUGGGGGUUUUUUUAUUGGAUAUUUACACCAAACUACCAGUGAGAUCUGAGAAAGAAGAAGACGGUAAAAUGUCUGCUGGAACAUCUGAGUUAUUCUGUCUGAUCUGUUUCCUGGUCUGUUCCUGUACAGGUGAGUUAUAAUGUUCAUUUAUUAUAAUAUUCAUUAAUUCUACCUCUGAUGGACUGGACAGGCUCUUAUUUUGUAGGAAUCAAUAACUAGAUAUAUUCAUGUUUGUUUUAAGGAUGUAAUAACUUCUACUGACUCAGAGUUUUCUAUGAUUCAAAGUGAGGCAGGGAGACAUGAUGUUUACUUUAGUGAGGACACAGUUGAUAAUAUAAAGUGGAUUCUGUCUGUUCACAUAAUGCUGUGGAGGGUUUGGUUCCAUGAUGUGUUCCAGCACUACUUUAUGCUGACAGAGGAGGUUGGAAGUAAUCAAGACAAGUUGGGACACCUGUAGGAUUCAGUAGCACCAACUUUCAAGGCUUGAUCAACCUCCACUGCUGCACAGCAGUUUUAAGGUGUUAACCCAUUUCUCAUUCCCUGAAAAAGGCCUUUUUGUAUCAUUCUGAAAUGUACGUUAUUUUUCAGUUUUGGGGAAUUUUACCUUCUUUUAACCUCUGGCAGUUCACCACUUACCUUUGGACCACUUCAAGCUCUUCACUGGAUUUGAAUUCCUUGAAUUUCAAUUUUAAAAAAUGGAAAAAAUUGGGGCAUUUUAAACCUUUGUCCUGUAGUGUUUGUGGAAAAAACAUGAUUCCUCUUCAUCAACCUGAUGAAUCCACUGAUGACUAAAACACCAGAAGCAGCAGCUCAGAGUUCAUGGAGGAGUUUAGAGGUUAAACUCUUCUCCUCCGGAUCAACUUUAACUUCUCUGUUGUUUCUUCUUCAGCUCAGAAAAUCAUCACAGCUGAAAAAAUCACAGUUGAUGUCGGACAGAAUGUCACUCUACCAUGUAAAGUUCCCAACAACCAAAGACCCAUUGGGGUUGUAGAGUGGAACAGAUCUGAUCAGGAAACAGGAAACAGGAAAUGUUUUUUCCUCCUGGUAUGGAUGGAUUGAACCAGAGAACCAGCAUCCAUCUUAUCAGGACCGGACAGAUCUGCAGGACAAAGAGAUGAAGGAUGGAGACGUUUCUCUGAUUCUGAAGGAUGUGAUGAUGGAGGACAAUGGAACAUACGAGUGUUAUGUUUAUCAGACGGGAAAGACGAUUGAACUCAUCUGCAACAUCAAACUGGAAGUUCAUCCACCAGGAGACAAGGUUGGAAUCAUUGUAGGAGCAGCAGUGGGUGUGAUAGUUCUUCUUCUUGCUGUGGCUUCUCUUGGUUUUCUGAUCUAUAGACGACACAUGAGGCAGAAUCCAAACCUCCCAGUUCCUCCUGAUGAACCAACAGCUAAACAGAUGUUAUGAAACAAAGACAUGAAAGUUUUUCUGGACAAUGUGUUCCAAAGCUCUGCAUGUUAGAACCUGAUGAAAUGUUGUGGAUGUAAAGUGUUCUGUCAGAUGAGAUCAGAACCACAUAGAAAAGUUCUGAUUGUCCAGAAUGAAGCACAACUGAUGAACAGAACUUUAGACUGAACUUGUUUUAAUGUUUUAUCUGAUGAUGUUCUCAACUGUUUACAGGGUAAAGGUGCAGAUAAUAUUAUGUAUUUUAGAUAUAUUUUAUACUACUCAGUGUUCUGUGAGUUUCAUCUUCAUCCUAUAUUAUGUUUUGUUGUUAAUCUACAGAUAAAUGUAGUCCAGUAGAAUAAUAUUGUUUCCUACUGAACUGUAGUGAAGGUUGAAUAGAAUAAACAGAAUUUAAACUGAUAGAAUGAACUGUUACUUCACAGAAAUGACUGUUUAUAUUAUGACAGACUGUUAAUAAUGAACUUUACAGUAAAUAAUGAACUUUACAGUAAAUAAUAAACUUUACUGCUGCUUUUUCACUUCGUCUUUGAUGCUAAACUGUUUGUCUUAGUUCUUGUCCUCUGUUCAAUGACAAUAAAGUUGAAUCUAAUCAGG